ACAUCAAGGAGUUACGGCAAGAGUUUGUGCUUCGGAUCCAGGAGCAUGACACAGCUAAUGAGCUAUAUGAAUACAUAUUCAUUGAUGAGGUUGGAUUCAACCUGGUGAAGAGGAGGCGCCGGGGCAGAAAUGUCAUUGGCCAGCGCGCCAUUGUUGAGGUCCCCGGCCAGCGUGAUGGGAACAUCACUUUGUGUGCUGCAAUGGGUUGAGCAGGCCCGUUGACAGUACUGUACUGUUCAGAAAUAAAACUUUUUUUGCCGCAUAUGUGUGC